rnacentral:rRNA from 1 species
ACGGGGGGUGCAAGCGUUGUUCGGAAUUAUUGGGCGUAAAGCGCGUGUAGGCCGUUUGUUAAGUCUGAUGUGAAAGACCAGGGCCCAACCUGGGAAGUGCAAUGGAGACUGGCAGGCUUGAAUACGGGAAAGGGUAGUGGAAUUGGUAGUGUAGGGGUGAAAGGAGGAGAGAUCAGGAGGAGCACCGAUGGCGGAAGCAGCAGCCUGGUCCAUUAGGGACGCUGAGACACGAAAGCGUGGGUAGCAAACAG